GGAUAACAGAUAGAAAUGUCUGCUAAUACCGCAUAAGACCACAGCGCCGCAUGGCGCAGGGGUAAAAACUCCGGUGGUAUGGGAUGGACCCGCGUCUGAUUAGCUAGUUGGUGGGGUAAAGGCCCACCAAGGCGACGAUCAGUAGCCGACCUGAGAGGGUGACCGGCCACAUUGGGACUGGGACACGGCCCAAACUCCUACGGGAGGCAGCAGUGGGGAAUAUUGCACAAUGGGGGAAACCCUGAUGCAGCGACGCCGCGUGAAGGAUGAAGUAUUUCGGUAUGUAAACUUCUAUCAGCAGGGAAGAAAAUGACGGUACCUGACUAAGAAGCCCCGGCUAACUACGUGCCAGCAGCCGCGGUAAUACGUAGGGGGCAAGCGUUAUCCGGAUUUACUGGGUGUAAAGGGAGCGUAGACGGCAUGGCAAGUCUGAUGUGAAAACCCGGGGCUCAACCCCGGGACUGCAUUGGAAACUGUCAGGCUAGAGUGUCGGAGAGGCAAGUGGAAUUCCUAGUGUAGCGGUGAAAUGCGUAGAUAUUAGGAGGAACACCAGUGGCGAAGGCGGCUUGCUGGACGAUGACUGACGUUGAGGCUCGAAAGCGUGGGGAGCAAACAGGAUUAGAUACCCUGGUAGUCCACGCCGUAAACG
rnacentral:rRNA from 1 species